AUUGAACGCUGGCGGCAUGCUUUACACAUGCAAGUCGAACGGUAACAGGCCGCAAGGUGCUGACGAGUGGCGAACGGGUGAGUAAUGCAUCGGAGCGUGCCCAGUCGUGGGGGAUAACGCAGCGAAAGCUGUGCUAAUACCGCAUACGAUCUCAGGAUGAAAGCAGGGGACCGCAAGGCCUUGCGCUCACGGAGCGGCCGAUGGCAGAUUAGGUAGUUGGUGGGAUAAAAGCUUACCAAGCCGACGAUCUGUAGCUGGUCUGAGAGGACGACCAGCCACACUGGGACUGAGACACGGCCCAGACUCCUACGGGAGGCAGCAGUGGGGAAUUUUGGACAAUGGGCGCAAGCCUGAUCCAGCCAUGCCGCGUGCAGGAUGAAGGCCUUCGGGUUGUAAACUGCUUUUGUACGGAACGAAAAGACUCUGGUUAAUACCUGGGGUCCAUGACGGUACCGUAAGAAUAAGCACCGGCUAACUACGUGCCAGCCGCCGCGGUAAUAC
rnacentral:rRNA from 1 species